rnacentral:rRNA from 1 species
AGCGAACGCUGGCGGCAGGCCUAACACAUGCAAGUCGAACGAAGUCUUCGGACUUAGUGGCGGACGGGUGAGUAACACGUGGGAACGUGCCUUUAGGUUCGGAAUAACUCAGGGAAACUCGUGCUAAUACCGAAUGUGCCCUUCGGGGGAAAGAUUUAUCGCCCUUAGAGCGGCCCGCGUCUGAUUAGCUAGUUGGUGGGGUAAUGGCCCACCAAGGCUACGAUCAGUAGCUGGUCUGAGAGGAUGACCAGCCACAUUGGGACUGAGACACGGCCCAAACUCCUACGGGAGGCAGCAGUGGGGAAUCUUGCGCAAUGGGCGAAAGCCUGACGCAGCCAUGCCGCGUGGAUGAUGAAGGUCUUAGGAUUGUAAAAUCCUUUCACCGGUGAAGAUAAUGACUGUAGCCGGAGAAGAAGCCCCGGCUAACUUCGUGCCAGCCGCCGCAGUAAUAC